rnacentral:rRNA from 1 species
AUGGCCGAUAUAAGUGCUGAGUGUUUGGAUGUGUACGUAAACAUUGUCAGCAGGAUGUUUCAUAGCGAGGAUGAAGGUUUUGAGUUCUAUAACAAGUAUGCUCUUGAGAAAGGCUUUAGUGUGAGAAAAGGCUAUGUUGAGUGGGAUGAAGCGAACGAGAAGAUAAUUCUGAGGAAAUUUGUCUGUAGUCGUGAAGGUUGCCGUGAAGAGAAGCACAUGAAGAGGAAGAGAGAAGAUAGGAAGAGGAAGCCACGAAAUAUCACUCGUGUGGGGUGUAAAGCGAAAUUUGUCAUUGCAAGAGUCGCCAAAAUAGGGCGGUGGUUUGUGAAGGAUUUCAUCGAUGAACACAACCAUCCUCUGGCCCCAUGA